GUCUGGUCCCUUGCCUUCCUACCAACAUCUACAUAACUUACACAUGCAAGUAUCCGCACACCCGUGAGAACACCCUUAAACCUCCUCAGGUCAAGGAGCUGGUAUCAGGCACAGAUAACUCUAGCCCAUUACACCUAGCAUAGCCACACCCUCAAGGGUAUUCAGCAGUGAUAAACAUUGAUUAUAAGUGAAAACUUGACUCAGUUAUAGUAUUAAGAGCCGGCCAAUUCGGUGCCAGCCGCCGCGGCUACACCGCGAGACUCAAGUUGUUAGACACCGGCGUCAAGCGUGGUUUAAGAUACCCCAAUCUAGAGCUAAACUCCCCAUCAUGCAGUGAUAUGCUGAUCUCUAAGAAACCCAUGAACGAAAGUCACUCUAAAACUAAACUUGAAUCCACGAUAGCUAAAAUACAAACUGGGAUUAGAUACCCCACUAUGCUUAGCUGUAAAAUAUUUAAUUACACUUAAAACGCCAGAGAAUUACGAGCACAAGCUUAAAACUCAAAGGACUUGACGGUGUCCCAUCUACCUAGAGGAGCCUGUUCUAUAAUCGAUACUCCCCGAUUUACCUUACCACUUUUAGCCUAUCAGCCUGUAUACUUCCGUCGUAAGCUUACCAUAUGAAUGUUAGUGAACAAAAAGGUCUAUACACCCAAACGUCAGGUCAAAGUGCAGCCAACAAAGUGGCAAGAAAUGGGCUACAAUUUCUAAUUCUAGAACAUACGAAAAACCAUAUGAAAACUGGUCACGAAGGCGGAUUUAGUAGUAAGGGGAAAACAGAACGUUCCCCUUAAAUAUGCCCUGGGACGUGUACACACCGCCCGUCACCCUCUUCUAUUUUACUUCACAUGUUAAUUAACACCACUUUCUCAAAUAAGAAGAGGCAAGUCGUAACACGGUAAGCAUACUGGAAAGUGUGCUUGGACACCAAAAUGUAGCUUAACUUAAAGCCUCUCACUU
rnacentral:ncRNA from 1 species